UGGGGAAUUUUGGACAAUGGGCGCAAGCCUGAUCCAGCCAUGCCGCGUGUGGGAAGAAGGCCUUCGGGUUGUAAACCACUUUUGUCAGGGAAGAAACGGCCUGAUCUAAUACAUUGGGUUAAUGACGGUACCUGAAGAAUAAGCACCGGCUAACUACGUGCCAGCAGCCGCGGUAAUACGUAGGGUGCGAGCGUUAAUCGGAAUUACUGGGCGUAAAGCGUGCGCAGGCGGCUUUGCAAGACAGAUGUGAAAUCCCCGGGCUCAACCUGGGAACUGCAUUUGUGACUGCAAGGCUAGAGUACGGUAGAGGGGGAUGGGAAUUCCGCGUGUAGCAGUGAAAUGCGUAGAUAUGCGGAGGAACACCGAUGGCGAAGGCAAUCCCCUGGACCUGUACUGACGCUCAUGCACGAAAGCGUGGGGAGCAAACAGGAUUAGAUACCCCCGUAGUCCCUGAGCGGGCUGGCAAGGCGCAU
rnacentral:rRNA from 1 species